CGAAAACCCACAGCUGGGGCAUCAACACAUAACAGAGCCCAAAGGCCUGGAGGAGGAGAGGCUCGCCAGUUUGGAGGGAUGGUCUUCAUUCGCUGAUGUCGCAUGGCCUAGUCCGCCACUGCAUUAGCUGAUCGUGGGCAGCAAACCAGGCCCACUAGCAGCAUUUGCUGCAGGAAAGCUUUCAAUUCAAACAACAUCGCACAUGCCUGCCAGUCCAUCUACUCUUCACGCUUCAAGUAGUUGACAAGAACUUGGUUGUCAGACUCCACGAUAGCCUCCCCGAUUUCUUUGUCUUUCAAGUACUUUAGGGCUUUGAGAACCCCUAGGGUUUCCACUGCAGAGCCGUCUCUGCCCGGACUGUCUUCGUGAAUCCGUCUAUGAGGCUACCGGAGGAGUCCUGGACGACGCAAGACAUGGCUCCCUCCGUCGAUCCCUCACACAAUGACCCAUCUACAUUCAGCUUGAAAGAGCUAGCUUUUGAAGCUUGCCAGAUCUAUGACUUUGCAGACCUCUAGUUUUGUACCUUGAAAGACAAAAUUGUUGCGCUCCUUCCAUACUUGCUAAAGAAGAUUUCCGAUCCUUUCCAAAGAAGGGAGGUUGAUUUCCGGGUGGUUCCAUACCCUUGCAGCCCAUGGACAAAGGAGAAGGGUGUGUUCGACUAUUUCCACCUUGGCUCGGCAAAGAUCACAUACCGGAUCAAGUAAGAUCUUUCUUUUCCAUAGGUUCUCCUUGGUUGGUAUAGCGUUUUGACAAGCAUUCCAUACAAAGAUCUUCACUUUUAGACUGGUUCGCAUAUGCCAUAUUGCAUUCCAUAGUUCUAUUAGUGUUUAAUAUGAGGAAGAAGGGUGUUAUGUUGCUCUGCUUGCUGUUGUUCUGUCUCUUAGCAAGUUAUAACCAUUUUUGAUUGUAAAUGACCCAUUCUUCGUGCCCGUCCAUAUUAAUUCAUCGCUGGUAAAAUGACCAUUUAUUGGUGUUGCAAGGAUUUCCUGAGUAGUCUGCUCAUCAAAUAGGUUAUUUAUCAAUGGUUCAUUCCACUGUUGUGUCUCAGAAAGCAUUAACUCAUAAAAUUUUUGUGGAUCAUUUUUAUUUGUGGGCCCUCCUUUUAAUCCUCUUUUCAGCCAUCUAUCUGUUUUGAUAUUGACAGUUUCUCCAUUUCCUAUCGACCAUCUGAUUGAAUCCGCAAUAGCCUCCCUUCCAAUAAGCAAACUUUUCCAUCCCCAUGAAGGUUUAAAACCUUUAUCAGCAUGCCAGAAAUCUGAGCGACAAAAAUAAAGCCCUUUUAAUAAUUUACUCCAUAGUGCAUCCGGAUUUUUACCAUCCGCCAAGCUUGUUUACCCAAUAAGGCUUUAUUAACAGUAAGCAAGUCUCUAAAUCCCAUUCCUCCCCUAUCUUUCCUCAUCUUCAUGAUUUCCCAUCUUUUCCAAUGCAAACCAACCUUUGAUUCACUGUUUUUCCACAAAAAAUUAGCUGUUUUUUUUUUCUCUCUAUAGCCUUGCAAAUUGACAUUGGAAUUUUAAAAAACUGACAUAGCAUAUUGUGGUACCGCCUGCACCACUGAUUUUAGGAGUAUUUCCUUUCCUGCUUUUGAUAUGAUUUGUUCCUUCCAGCCCUCCAAUUUCAUAUUGAUCCUGUUUAAAAUCCACCCAAACAUUUGCCUCUUUGAUGCUCCCCAAUUAGAGGGAAUUCUUAGAUAUUUGCUUGAUUGCUCUAGCUCUGGUACCCUCAAUUCUCUUUUCAUAUUAUCCUUUAAUAGAUAUGGACAGUCUUUACUAAAGAAAAUACCAAACUUGUUUAAGUUGACAGCUUGUCCUAAGGCAUAACAAUACUGAUUAAUAACAGCUGCAAUAUUUUGGCAUUCCUGUAAAGAACCAUCCAAGAAAAAAAUUGAAUCAUUGGCAAAUAAUAAAUGAGUUAAAGUAGGGCAUAAUUUGUUCAACUUAAUUCCUUUGAUAUUCCCAUCUUGUAGAGCUUUACCCAUUAAAGAUGACAAACUGUUUGCCACCAAAAUAAACAGAUAGGGUGAUAAAGGGUCUCAUUGUCUAAUGCCUCCGGUGGGAGCGAAAAAAGAGAGGGGUUCCUUGUUAAACUUGAUGCUGAAAGUGACUGUAGUGACACAUUGCAUAAUCUAAUGAACCCAUUUAGCACAAAACCCCAUUUUCAGCAAGCAACCUUCUAAGAAAUCCCAUUCAAUUCUGUCAUAUGCUUUAUGCAUGUCAAGUUUCAGAACCGUUUGGAAGUGUUUUUUCAUUUUUCUCGUUCUCAAUUGAUGCAACACCUCUUGAAAAAUAUAAAUAUUAUCUUGAAUUUAUCUUCCACUGACGAAGGCACUUUGCUCUCCUGAAAUCAGCAUUGGCAAGCAUCUUUUCAAUCUAUUUGCCAAAAUUUUGGAUAUUAUUUUGUAUGCAAAAUUGUAAAGGCUAAUAUGGGGAUUUUGAUCAAGUCUUUCCGGGUGGGGGAUCUUUGGUAUCAAAGUAAUAUGUGCUCUGUUUAGGGCUGGUUCCAACACUCCCAAAAGAAAGAAACCUCGAACUUCCUCCAACACAUCAUAAUUUAUUAUAUCCCAGUGAUGCUGAUAAAAAAUUCCAUUUAACUCGUCUGGACCAAGAGCUUUCUGAGCUCCAAUUUGAAACACAGCAGCAUGAAUUUCUUCCAUUGUUACUUCCACCACUAAAUAUUCAUUUAUAUUAUUUUUGAUUAGUGUAGGGCAUUGAUCUAGUAUUGGUUGGUAGUUGCGAGGCCCUACCGAAGUAUAUAACUCCUUGAAAAAAGACAUAGUGAGGUGCUGAAGUUGCUGUUUUCCCCUAAUACACUGCUCUAAUGCAUUUUUCAGCAUAGUAAUUCUAUUUUUUUGGUCUCCUUUGGAUCGUUGCUACAUGGAAACAUUUCGUGUUUUUAUCUCCCCAACGAAACCAAUUGACUCGAGAUCUCAAAUCCCAAAACAUUUCCUCUCUGCGCCAUAAGGUUUCCAGCUCUUCUUUUAUAAGCUUUAUCCUGUUUGGUUCUUGAUAAAAGCUAUGGCUGUUAGUUAAUGGUUAAAGCUCAUUCUUUAGGGCUGUUAUACGGAUAUUGCUAUAAGGAAAUUUCCUUUUACUCCAUUCUUUCAAUGCUUGGCUGGUGGCAUGUAAUUUAUCUCUCAAUCCUCCUUUAAGACAAUGUUAAGAUUGCCAUGCAUGUUUAACUAUAUCCCUGCAUUCACCAUCUUCAACCCAAAAAGCCUCGAAGUGAAAAUCUUUUCUUUUUUUAACAUAUUCAGCACUACUCACCAAAAUGAGCGGACUAUGAUCGGACCCAAUAGUUGGUAGAGCAAAGGCUUCAGCUUUCGGGAACAUUAGCCGCCAAUCCAUCGAGCAACACUCUGUCUAGUUUCUCCUCAACCAAAUCAGCCCAUUCUCUAUUAUUUGACCAGGUAAACACACCCUUUACAAUCUAUUUCCAUUAACGAGCAAUCAUGAAUACAGCUUUGGAAUGCCUACAUUCUAUAAUUCUCUGCCAUCCUUCUUCCCAUCUUCUCCCAAUAAUAAAGUACUUCAUUGAAAUCCCCCACACACACCCAUGGAGGUGUAUUAGAAAGACCUAUUUGUCUCAGUUUCUCCCAUAGCUGUAAUCUUUCCCCAUAUAUGUGUUGACACCUAAAUUUUGAUGACCCGUUUAGUCAUUCAUUCUAUUAAAAAAUUAUGGGUUAAUUUUAUCCCUAAAAAAAUAGUUAAUCGCAUAGCAUAUAGUUUUAGGUGCAUUUAUUUUUUUAUUUGCAUUUACAUUGGGCCGGUGACGGAUGGGUUUGAAUUGAUGGUUCAUAAACUUUAAUUUGAUGAGUCGGGCUAAGCCCAUGAAGAAAGCAAAUCGGCCUAAGCUCGUAUUCUCGGAGAGAUUUUAUGAAUUCAUCUUUGUGAGAUUUCAAUUCAAAAGCAAAUAUUACGUUUGGAAAAAAUAAAUAUUGCGUUUCGAAAAGAAAUCUUCGUGGAUAUGGAUUUGGAAAAUUUAAAACACCUAAUCCGUGCCCUAUAAAUAGAUUAAAUGCGUAGGGUUUGGGAAGGGGGCCAGGCAAUAGAAAUAUACGGUCACAUAGGGCUUUUUCUCUGGGUUUUCUUCGAGGGAAUAGUAAGUAGAGAAAAAGUGAAAGAGGGAGAGAAAAGUGACAGUAGCAGUAAAAAAA